rnacentral:rRNA from 1 species
GAAUUCGCCCUUAGAGUUUGAUCCUGGCUCAGGACGAACGCUGGCGGCGCGCCUAACACAUGCAAGUCGAACGAGCGAGAGAGAGCUUGCUUUCUCGAGCGAGUGGCGAACGGGUGAGUAACGCGUGAGGAACCUGCCUCAAAGAGGGGGACAACAGUUGGAAACGACUGCUAAUACCGCAUAAGCCCACGGGUCGGCAUCGACCAGAGGGAAAAGGAGCAAUCCGCUUUGAGAUGGCCUCGCGUCCGAUUAGCUAGUUGGUGAGGUAACGGCCCACCAAGGCAACGAUCGGUAGCCGGACUGAGAGGUUGAACGGCCACAUUGGGACUGAGACACGGCCCAGACUCCUACGGGAGGCAGCAGUGGGGAAUAUUGCACAAUGGGGGAAACCCUGAUGCAGCGACGCCGCGCGGAGGAAGAAGGUCUUCGGAUUGUAAACUCCUGUUGUUGGGGAAGAUAAUGACGGUACCCAACAAGGAAGUGACGGCUAACUACGUGCCAGCAGCCGCGGUAAAACGUAGGUCACAAGCGUUGUCCGGAAUUACUGGGUGUAAAGGGAGCGCAGGCGGGAAGACAAGUUGGAAGUGAAAUCUAUGGGCUCAACCCAUAAAACUGCUUUCAAAACUGUUUUUCUUGAGUAGUGCAGAGGUAGGCGGAAUUCCCGGUGUAGCGGUGGAAUGCGUAGAUAUCGGGAGGAACACCAGUGGCGAAGGCGGCCUACUGGGCACCAACUGACGCUGAGGCUCGAAAGUGUGGGUAGCAAACAGGAUUAGAUACCCUGGUAGUCCACACCGUAAACGAUGAUUACUAGGUGUUGGAGGAUUGACCCCUUCAGUGCCGCAGUUAACACAAUAAGUAAUCCACCUGGGGAGUACGACCGCAAGGUUGAAACUCAAAGGAAUUGACGGGGGCCCGCACAAGCAGUGGAGUAUGUGGUUUAAUUCGACGCAACGCGAAGAACCUUACCAAGUCUUGACAUCCCUUGACAGGCAUAGAAAUAUGUUUUCUCUUCGGAGCAAGGAGACAGGUGGUGCAUGGUUGUCGUCAGCUCGUGUCGUGAGAUGUUGGGUUAAGUCCCGCAACGAGCGCAACCCUUAUGGUCAGUUACUACGCAAGAGGACUCUGGCCAGACUGCCGUUGACAAAACGGAGGAAGGUGGGGAUGACGUCAAAUCAUCAUGCCCUUUAUGACUUGGGCUACACACGUACUACAAUGGCGUUAAACAAAGAGAAGCAAGACCGCGAGGUGGAGCAAAACUCAGAAACAACGUCCCAGUUCGGACUGCAGGCUGCAACUCGCCUGCACGAAGUCGGAAUUGCUAGUAAUCGUGGAUCAGCAUGCCACGGUGAAUACGUUCCCGGGCCUUGCACACACCGCCCGUCA